rnacentral:rRNA from 1 species
AACGAACGCUGGCGGCAGGCCUAACACAUGCAAGUCGAGCGAGGACUUCGGUCCUAGCGGCGGACGGGUGAGUAACGCGUGGGAACGUGCCCCUUUCUACGGAAUAGCCUCGGGAAACUGGGAGUAAUACCGUAUAAGCCCUACGGGGGAAAGAUUUAUCGGGAAGGGAUCGGCCCGCGUUGGAUUAGGUAGUUGGUGGGGUAAAGGCCUACCAAGCCUACGAUCCAUAGCUGGUUUGAGAGGAUGAUCAGCCACACUGGGACUGAGACACGGCCCAGACUCCUACGGGAGGCAGCAGUGGGGAAUCUUAGACAAUGGGCGCAAGCCUGAUCUAGCCAUGCCGCGUGAGCGAUGAAGGCCUUAGGGUUGUAAAGCUCUUUCAGUGGGGAAGAUAAUGACGGUACCCACAGAAGAAGCCCCGGCUAACUCCGUG